rnacentral:rRNA from 1 species
AGUGAACGCUGGCGGUAGGCCUAACACAUGCAAGUCGAACGGCAGCACAGUAAGAGCUUGCUCUUACGGGUGGCGAGUGGCGGACGGGUGAGGAAUACAUCGGAAUCUACUUUUUCGUGGGGGAUAACGUAGGGAAACUUACGCUAAUACCGCAUACGACCUACGGGUGAAAGCAGGGGAUCUUCGGACCUUGCGCGAUUGAAUGAGCCGAUGUCGGAUUAGCUAGUUGGCGGGGUAAAGGCCCACCAAGGCGACGAUCCGUAGCUGGUCUGAGAGGAUGGUCGGCCACCCUGGAACUGGGACACGGUCCAGACUCCUACGGGAGGCAGCAGUGGGGAAUAUUGGACAAUGGGCGCAAGCCUGGUCCAGCCAUACCGCGUGGGUGAAGAAGGCCUUCGGGUUGUAAAGCCCUUUUGUUGGGAAAGAAAAGCAGCAGGUUAAUACCCCGCUGUUCUGACGGUACCCAAAGAAUAAGCACCGGCUAACUUCGUG